UACGUAGGGGGCAAGCGUUGUCCGGAUUUAUUGGGCGUAAAGAGCGUGUAGGCGGAUUUGUAAGUCAGGGGUGAAAUCCCGGGGCUCAACCUCGGAACUGCCUUUGAUACUGCAAAUCUCGAGUCCGGAAGAGGAGAGUGGAAUUCCUGGUGUAGCGGUGAAAUGCGCAGAUAUCAGGAAGAACACCCGUGGCGAAGGCGGCUCUCUGGGACGGUACUGACGCUGAGACGCGAAAGCGUGGGGAGCGAACAGG
rnacentral:rRNA from 1 species